AAAUUACCUGCUCACAGGUAGGUUUUUUUUUAAAUCGAAAAACACAAAUACCACAAUGAACACAAUAUAAAAUGUAUAAUUUAAAUAGCUCUGUAACUAUCAAAACAGAAGAACACUUUCAAAUUCUAGGACAUCUAUCUUGUCCCCAGGAAGCCAUGCUCUAUUAAUGAUCGCCAAAUUUCUCUGCUGGUCAGACCCUGGCUACCUCUCCAAACUUUCUGCUCAGCACAAUAAUUCUGCUACUUUGACUCUGGCAUCCUAUUGUCCCUCUGCUACUAGUAAGCCCAGCUCUGUGACUGUAUACCCUAUGUCAGCCCUGGCCUACAGAGAACAGCUAACCUGUCUUAAAAAAAAAAAAAAAAAAAAAAGAAUGGGCUCCCAUAUCCAUACACUCUCCCUUAUCAAACUUUAUGUCCCACCCUCCUUGAUCCAACACCCUCAGACUGUCAGGCUGGGUUCCUCGGGAAACAUACUCUCAGAUGGAGAUUUGAGUAAAAGAAGUUCAUUGAGUCGUGCUCUCAGGAUCAACAACACUGGGAGAAAAUGAAGGCCUUAGAACUGGACAGCAGGAACUCAGGAACUGUUGUGGCCCUGCAGAGUUGUCCCCCACUGA
rnacentral:lncRNA from 1 species